CCGUUCCCGGGAUUUCGGGGAUGACACGGGGGCCAGUGGCCCUGUCUGGUGUGAACCGUCAGCACAGAUGGCCUCCGGGAGCUUCCCCGAGUCGUUCGCUGGGGGAAGCGGGCGGUGAGCGGUCGGCCGGGGCGCUCCGCAGGCCGCGAGCUCCUGGCAGGGCUGGUGGCGGGGGUCCGCCUGGGGGAGGAAUCCCCGCCUGCUUCAUCGGACCCGGGCUGGCGCGGCUCGCGGCGCUCGGCGGGCUCCCUUCCAUUCUAGAAUCUUCCCGCUUGCUUCCCAGCCCGCGUUCUCCCGCCCGCCUUUAAUUGUGUAAGUUUGACGAAGUCACAGCUUUGGGUUCCAGGAAAAGCGCAGGAGAGUCAUACAGGAAGGGAGGGCGCAGGUUGGAGUCAGGUCCAAACAGCCCCUAUUGCCACUUUUG
rnacentral:lncRNA from 1 species